GUGUUCACUUCGGCAGCACCUGCACUAAAAUUGGAAUGAUACAGAGAAGACUGGCAUGGUCUGUGUGCAAGGAUGACACGUAAAUUUGUGAAACAUUCCAUAUUUUG